GACGAACGCUGGCGGCGUGCCUAAUACAUGCAAGUCGAGCGGACCUCUUCGGAGGUCAGCGGCGGACGGGUGAGUAACACGUGGGCAACCUGCCUGUAAGACUGGGAUAACUCCGGGAAACCGGAGCUAAUACCGGAUAUUAUUUCAAACCGCAUGGUUUGAAAUUCAAAGACGGUUUCGGCUGUCACUUACAGAUGGGCCCGCGGCGCAUUAGCUAGUUGGUGAGGUAAUGGCUCACCAAGGCAACGAUGCGUAGCCGACCUGAGAGGGUGAUCGGCCACACUGGGACUGAGACACGGCCCAGACUCCUACGGGAGGCAGCAGUAGGGAAUCUUCCGCAAUGGACGAAAGUCCGACGGAGCAACGCCGCGUGAGUGAUGAAGGUUUUCGGAUCGUAAAACUCUGUUGUCAGGGAAGAACAAGUGACGGAGUAACUGCCGGCGCCUUGACGGUACCUGACCAGAAAGCCACGGCUAACUACGUGCCAGCAGCCGCAGUAA
rnacentral:rRNA from 1 species